rnacentral:rRNA from 1 species
AUUGAACGCUGGCGGCAUGCUUUACACAUGCAAGUCGAACGGCAACGAGGAGAGGCUUGCUUCUCUGUCGGCGAGUGGCGAACGGGUGAGUAUAGCAUCGGAACGUGCCAAGUAGUGGGGGAUAACCAAACGAAAGUUUGGCUAAUACCGCGUAAGCUCCAAGGAGGAAAGUAGGGGACCUAAAUAAGGCCUUACGCUAUUUGAUCGGCCGAUGUCGGAUUAGCUAGUUGGUGGGGUAAUGGCUCACCAAGGCAAUGAUCCGUAGCGGGUCUGAGAGGACGAUCCGCCACACUGGGACUGAGACACGGCCCAGACUCCUACGGGAGGCAGCAGUGGGGAAUUUUGGACAAUGGGGGAAACCCUGAUCCAGCCAUGCCGCGUGUAUGAAGAAGGCCUUAGGGUUGUAAAGUACUUUUGUUAGGGAAGAAAAGCUAGUUUUUAAUAAAAAUUAGUGAUGACGGUACCUAAAGAAUAAGCACCGGCUAACUACGUG